rnacentral:lncRNA from 1 species
GUGCUUCCAUACAAAGGGGACAGAAGAGAUGAUGGAAGGCCUCAGUACUGCAGGAGGGGAGACGGAUGUCAUCUACAAUCACACAAUACAUGGGAGGUCACAGAACGCCAGGGUGACGUAACAAUUCAAACCAUGAAGAGGUAACAGAGCCCUUCGCGCGUCUCAACACGUGGUGACGCAGCUAAUAACCUGUGAUGCAUACAUGGGAACAAAUGCAUAGAAAAACUUGUCAAUGACACGGCAAAGUAAAACCCAAAUGAAGCGAGGUGAAAGAAUGGGCUGCAGCGCAGGCAAAACUGCACCACGUUACAGACUGCUCGCCUGGGAUGGAACGGUGGGGAGGUGCGCAGACGGAUGGACAAGCGCCUGGCAAAAUGGAUUUCUUUUCCUAGACUGCUAAUGCUACUAACAGUUCCCUCCUCACAGGGUCGCUAUAACGAGGUAACAUACAGCACUU